rnacentral:tRNA from 1 species
GUUUUAAUAAUUUAAUAAAAAUAUUGGUCUUGUAAAUCAAAAAUAAGGCAACUUUUAAAACU